rnacentral:rRNA from 1 species
GGAAGAGAUAACCGCUGAAAGCAUCUAAGCGGGAAACUCGCCUUAAGAUGAGAUAUCCCUGGGGACUUGAUCCCCUUGAAGGGUCGUUCGAGACCAGGACGUUGAUAGGUCAGGUGUGUAAGCGCAGUAAUGCGUUCAGCUAACUGAUACUAAUUGCCCGUAAGGCUUGAUCCUAUAACA